GGAGGGAGGCAAGAAUCUUCUGAGACCAGUGGUAGAGAUCAGAGGAACAUGUAAACCCCUUAAGGAUGGCUUUCCAUUCCUGAGAGUGCUUUCUAGAGGACACCCAAUAGUGAGCUAGGUGGGGGUGGGGGGGUGAGAACAGAAGCUCCCCCGUGACUUGGGAAGAUUAGAUUACAUAUGAAAAAGUGGAUUGACUGGUUUCCUUAUGUCAUAUAAAGAUAGGAUUUUUUUUUUCUUUCAAGUCAAUCUCUUAUGACAAGUAUCAGGGGAUCGUUUCAUGGAAAUCUAUGGAACCCCCAACAAUCAGAGUCCAAACCUCAAGUCUGACACCUCCCAGUUCUGUCUCUAAGUACAGUGUGCAGUUUGCAUGUGCUUCUCUUGAAUUCUCUUCAAGCAAGGAACUGUGGCACCACAGCCUACUGAGUGAGAUCACAAAGGCAGAGAGAGAGACUUUCUGUUGAUCUUAACAGCAGUAGCCUGUCAAGCCAUCCCAAUGAGAUGAAUUUGAACUCUGAUGCUGUCAGUCACUCAUUGCUAACUCACUCCAACCUGGCAAGCUCUUCAAAUGUAACCGUCAUCUUUCAGCAAGGGGCUCACCCAGUAAGUGGGGAUGUAUCACAGCCAAAGGCACAGUGCCCUGGCAAGAUCCUCGAAGUUUCCAUUUCUACUGUCAAUCUAAUCCUUGUCACCAGAUUUCUUUGGCUUUAAUGUCAUGGCUUUCAGUAUCAUUGACCCAAAAGCUUGCUAAUAUCUAAAAUCAGCGUAUCG
rnacentral:lncRNA from 1 species